rnacentral:lncRNA from 1 species
GCCAACUAACUUAGCCACUCAUCUCGACAUGCCAGUUGAAGAGACGAAUGAAGGCAAAAAGCAGUAUGGACACAUUGGGAAAAAAGCAAAUGAAGCAACCCAAUGACCCCCCCACGUCUUCUGGGUACUGAGAUGAGCUUUCGGCUGAAACACAGGGAAGAGCUACGCAUAAUGCAUAGCCAAGUAGCCAUGGUCAAGGCAUGAGCCCGCCCAUCAUUGACCCAACAUUGUUUCAACUCCAUUCUCACCGGCAAGCCGGCCCAGUACGUUGCCACUCCAGCUGUCGCCUGGCACAUCCCGGUGCAUCUUUGCACUCUAGUUGCUGAGGAUGAAGCCUUAUUGUCUUAGAUCUACAAGACUUUCUGAACCCAUCUUCCCACUGUCUGUAAACACCAUCCUUCAUAUUCAUGGGACAAGAACUGGGAAGCCACUGAGCCAGUGGGAGUUCUGCAGUGACCAUGGGCAUCCAGUGUCUAAAUUCCCCUGAGGUACAGCAGCUCACCUGAG